GACGAACGCUGGCGGCGUGCUUAACACAUGCAAGUCGAACGGUGAAGCGCCUUCCUUUUUGGUGGGUGUGGAUGAGUGGCGAACGGGUGAGUAGCACGUGAGUAACCUGCCCCCUUCUUCUGGAUAACCGCAUGAAAGUGUGGCUAAUACGGGAUAUUCUGGGUCUGUCGCAUGAUGGGUCUGGGAAAGAUAUUGUUUCGGUGGGGGAUGGGCUCGCGGCCUAUCAGCUUGUUGGUGGGGUGAUGGCCUACCAAGGCGGUGACGGGUAGCCGGCCUGAGAGGGUGGACGGUCACACUGGGACUGAGACACGGACCAGACUCCUACGGGAGGCAGCAGUGGGGAAUAUUGCACAAUGGGCGCAAGCCUGAUGCAGCGACGCCGCGUGAGGGAUGGAGGCCUUCGGGUUGUGAACCUCUUUCGCCAGUGAAGCAGGCCUGCCUCGUUUGUGGGUGGGUUGACGGUAGCUGGAUAAGAAGCGCCGGCUAACUACGUG
rnacentral:rRNA from 1 species